GCCCCGGAAGUACGCCACGCGCCUGCGCGGAAGAACCUCGUCUGCGCCUGCGCACACGGGCCGUGAGCGGCCUGCGCUCGGCAUGGCGGACACGGAGUCCGAGUCGGAGCAGAUCCGUCUGAAGUGUAUCCGUAAGGACGGCUUCUUCACGGUGCCUCCGGAACACAGGCUGGGACGGUGUCGGAGUGUGAAGGAGUUUGAGAAGCUGAACCGCAUCGGGGAAGGCACCUAUGGCAUUGUGUAUCGGGCCCGGGACACCCAGACAGAUGAGAUUGUUGCCCUGAAGAAAGUGCGGAUGGACAAGGAGAAGGAUGGGGUCCCCAUCAGCAGCCUUCGAGAGAUCACACUGCUCCUUCGCCUUCGACAUCCAAAUAUCGUGGAGCUAAAGGAAGUGGUUGUUGGGAACCACCUGGAGAGCAUCUUUCUGGUGAUGGGUUAUUGUGAGCAAGAUCUGGCCAGCCUUCUGGAGAACAUGCCGACACCCUUCUCUGAGGCCCAGGUCAAGUGCAUUGUGCUGCAGGUACUCCGAGGCCUUCAGUACCUGCACCAGAACUUCAUCAUCCACAGGGACCUGAAGGUGUCCAACUUGCUCAUGACCGAUAAGGGCUGUGUGAAGACAGCGGAUUUCGGCCUGGCCCGGGCCUAUGGCAUUCCAGUGAAGCCAAUGACCCCCAAGGUGGUCACACUCUGGUACCGAGCCCCCGAACUGCUUUUGGGAACCACCACUCAGACCACAAGCAUCGACAUGUGGGCCAUGGGCUGCAUCCUGGCCGAGCUGCUGGCCCACAAGCCCCUUCUCCCCGGCACAUCCGAGAUCCACCAGGUGGACCUGAUUGUGCAGCUGCUGGGGACGCCCAGUGAGAACAUCUGGCCGGGUUUCUCCAGGCUCCCACUGGUGGGUCAGUACAGCCUCAGGAAGCAGCCCUACAACAACCUCAAACACAAGUUCCCGUGGCUCUCAGAGGCUGGCCUGCGCCUGCUCAACUUCCUCUUCAUGUACGACCCCAAGAAAAGGGCAACGGCUACAGACGGCUUGGAGAGCUCCUACUUCAAGGAGAAGCCCUUGCAACUCUGGGAUCCGGUCAGCAUUCCUCCGCUUACAGCUUCUGGUGCACCUCCCGCAGACUGAGUGCUGCCGUGGGCAGGCACUGUACUUUGCCUUCACCCCUCACAACCGACCUUGGACUGGACUAUUCUUGUGUCUGUUUCACAGAUGAGUACAUGGGUUCAGAGAGAUUAGGGUAGCAGGUACAGGUGCACAGCAGCCAGCUCCAGCAGCUCGAAGGCGCGGGCCAGGCCGCGCAGCGCGGGGGCCAGAUCGGCGCGGCCCCACAGGCCGUCGGUGAGCAGCGCCAGCGCGUCGUCCUGCAGCGCCCCGUGCAGGUCGAAGUCCUCCACCAGGAUCUGCCACAGCACCGCGCGCAGCGAUGGGUCCCCGCACACGCCCGCGCGGCCACGCCGCAGCUCACGCUCCAGGCACAGACGCCCCGCGACCUCGCUAGCUGAGAGCCACCAGUAUCUACAGCACUCCUCUUCCCUGGAGACCAGCCCCGCCAGCUGUGUCCCCCUCUCGAACAGAGACCCCCACCUCGACCACCAGAUCGUGCUCAGUGUCCCGCGAGGGACCGCUCUACCUGUCGGUCCCCAGCGGAGCCCAAUCGGCCGCCUCUCCGCUCGGACCUCUCCCGCGGCCCCGCUCUUCCGCCGCUGGCGGCUCCGCCCAUCGGCCUUGCCCGUGACGCUCGGGGCGGGGCUUGCUCGGGCACCGCCCCCUCGGCUAACCGGGGUGGGGCCGAGCUGGGGGCGGGGCCUGGUGCCGCCCAGCUGAGCACCUGCCCCCGCUUCUCCUGCUUACCCGAGGCGCCCGGGCCGCUCGUGGGGGAUCCUGGGCCGGGACUGCUGGCGCGCGCAUGGCGCGCGCACGAGGAACGUGCGUCCCACCAGCCCCUCCCUCUGAGCAAGGCGCUGGCAGCGGCAGCCGCGGCGGAAGCAGGUGCUCCCAGUGCGCCCCCGGCCCGGCCCAGAGCUCAACGUGGGCACAGGGAGGGGCGUUUCGGCGUGGUUAAAACAGCAGCCUCAGGUGGGUGGGGAGGCCCCAGAGUCCUUCUGUGGGCUCAGCUUCCUGGUCCCUGAGAGCAGCAUCUGGGGGUCCCUGAGGCGGGGUGCAGGCCCCUCCCUAGCUAGGCUUGCCUCGUUUCCAGGCGCCUGACCCGUGCGCUAGGGCCACUUGUGCGGAGGAGGGAUGGGAGAGAUUUAGUCCUUGGGGUUCCCAGCUCAAUGCAAGGAAGGUCGUCUUCUGUAGAACUUCCUCCCUGGGCGAGGUCUGCCCUUGGUUUCUGGGCCCCUCCCCUCUCCAGACCACUUUGUCGAGAUGCGACCUGGGUGGGGAGAGAUUUUUCUCUUAGGAGUUUUAAUCUGGCAGUGCGCUCGCUGCACGUGCGUCUUCAGAUACUCGAAUGGGACUUUUAGAAAAAUCCUGUAACCAAGCUGGGGAUCUCCUUGAGACAUUUUGCUGGCCACCACUCAACACAGGCGUUUCACUUACCGUGUACUGAGCCCAGCCCUAGGGCCACACCAACCGUGAGGAGACGGUUCGGGUCAUCUGCUCGUAUGCGGAAGGGUUGAGCUUAACCACUGUCUUCAGUUUGCCACUGAAUCCAUCGUGGUCUUCAGAUGUGAAGCCUCUCGAAUUGCAUUCAUCCAUGGCUGUAGCCCCCAGCCCUAAGAGGACUGUUAAGAGUGUGGUGCGCCCGCUCCCUCGGUGCGGGACUGUGUCUUCAACUCCAAGUAGGUGGUGGUCUGCUGCUUCGGUUCUGCACUCAGUGCCGUUGCUGUGUGUGACUCAAGGCGACGGCUCUUCACUGUUGUUUGCCACUCUAGGGCACGUGUGGCUCUUCUCAGUGUGACACUUGGAGCCACAGAGGUCUUUGCACCUGCUUCCACCCAUAGAAUGGAGGUGAGACAUUGUUUGACUUCUAGGUUAAGUCAUUAAAACACCUUAUUGUCUUGAGUUGUUUGCUCUUGGAAUCUAGCCAUCAUAUUGUGGGGAAACCGGCAGCCACGUGGAGAGACCUUGCACUGGGCUAAAUAAUGUUCCCCUAGAUCCAUGUCCACCUAGUACCUGGGAAUGUGAGAUUAUUUGGAAACAGGUUCUUUGCAGAUGAUAAUCAAGUUAGGAUGAAGUCAUGCUGAAUUAGGAUGGGCCCUAAAUCCAAUACGACCGGUGUUGUUACAAUAAGAGAGAAGUUAGGCACAGACAUGGAGGAGGAGAAGGUCUGUGGUGAUGGAGGCAGAGAUUGGAGCUCUGCUACCAGCCGAGGACCGUAGGAGCCAGGACGAUGGAUUCUGCUGUAGUACUUGGAGGGAGUAUGGUCUCCACUGCAUCUUGAAUUCAGAUUCUAGCCUGCAGAACCUUAAUAAAUUUCUGUUGUUUUACCUGA